GAAGCUUGGGUACAUCCAUUGUUUCUUCAUGAUAUAGUUUCUACUUAAAUUUCAUCGAGUUGAUUUGUCUUUCAAAGCCAAUAGCUUAUCGUUGUGACCACCAGUGCAUAUGGCACCAUACAUGAAUUUCCAUGAUUCCGUAGUUUCUUUUAUAGCAUUAGUAAAAAAUGUUUUAAUGUUGCUUACUUGGAUUCAGGUUAUGUACACUUAACCCUUGACAUGCAAUUAUUAGUAAAAAAUGUGAAACUGAGGCUGCGAGUCAGGUUAACUUCAUUACCUUCAUAAAACCUAGAGCAUAAAUUUCAUAAACCUGUUACAUGGAUGAUAUCACUUUGCAUUUUCCAUGUAACAACUAUGCAAUAUACACUAUUAUAAUGAGAUUCCUGAUGAUGGAACCACUUUAAGCUUAGUGGGACAAAUUUAACUUUAUCCUCAUACUUGCCUAAAAAAUGACAAACAAAUCAGCACAUGUUAGAGUAUAUAUGAUUUGGCUUCAUUUCCUAAUAUUCUCUCAGUUCUCAUUGCUUUGUGAUAGUAUGUGUGACUGCUUGGACUUGUUAACAAAUAAGUUGGAUGAACACAGCCAGGAUGAGGAGACGAAUGGAAGAUUGUCUGGUAUUAGUAUAUUCUCUUCCAGUAAUGAACCAGCCUAUAUGGAUACUGUGUAUCCUGUUUUCAGGAAUUGGAUGAGGGGCUCAUGAAGGUUAAGGAGAUGGAGAUGAAAGACUUUGAGAUGUUAGCCGAUAAGUUCAACGACCUACUACUUUCCUUGAUACAACAGACCAACGAUCUUAGUGGGAUAUGCCGCAAACACCGGUGAAGUCACCGGUUUUCCAAGGGUUGUGAAUGAAUGGAGAUAUGCUUAAGCUAGAUGGAUCGAAAGAGGAAACGAAAUGAAGUAUUCAAACUGCUGCUGCUGUAUUUUGGAAGAAACUCUCAGCAAAGUAUUUAUCUAACUCUUGUCUAUUCUGUCAAUAUAUGUAGGUAUUUAUUGGUUAACUUAGAUGAACUUGGUUUGCACAUGGUAGUAUAACAAAGAAAUGCUCUCUUACUGAGGUUCUGUAC